AUUUUUAAAAAACGUUGAUAACAUUGUGUUAGACAGUCCCUUGAAUGGUCCCUACUUGUCACAAUGGCUGCAUUUGUCUGUUUGAAAGUGUUUACAAUGUCAGCAGAACGAACUGAGAAAUGAGACAAAACCAAACAUGAACCCGAUCUGACAUUCGAAUCAGAAGGGAUCAGUGCGGCAGAUGGAAUGGUUGAAGGCACAUCUCAACACCUCAUUGUUGCGUUGCCCUUUUCCCCUUCACAAAAAAAAAAAAAAAA